ACGGUGAUGUCUUGCGGGUGAUGAAUAUGAUAAUUGGACAAGGGACGGUGAGUCUGUGCGAGAGCGAGCGAGCGAGGGAGCGGGGCGAGUGGGAGAGGGAGAGGGGAGAGACUGAGGAGGGCGGGGAGGGGACAGGAGAGGAGAGGCUAGAAGAGGAGAAAAAGAAAAGAGGAAGAGAAUGCAGGAGAGGAGAGAAGAGGAAAGAAGAGGAGCGAAGCGGAGAGGGAGCAGGCGGACCCGGCGAGAGCUCUUUUGCGCCGCUCUGCUUUCCCCGGCUGCAAUGGUGUAUUAUUUCAGAGCGCUCCCUCAGCUGAGGGCUCCGCUCCACAACAAGAUUUACUUUAAGACACAGCUGAAGGAAACAGGAAGACUGCACGUCACAGUCUGACUGACGUACCCGGCCCCAGCACCCAAUCGCGAGGCGCCUUCGGAUUCAAGGGGGGAUAGCAAGGCAAGAGAACUUGGGAGGAAAAAAAAUAUAUAAAAGGGGUGGGGGUGAGGGGCUGGGAAGAGAGGAGGGGAGAGGGGCCCCGCGCUCCCCCUCCCCGGCCUCCAUCCCGGGCCCCCACCCCCACCCCCGCCCUGCCACUGCUUCGGGGCGACUGGAUCGCCGCGCCGGGGCCGGAGCAAGCCAUCUGCGGGCACUGUGCAAAGCGGGAGACGGCGCGAGCGGCGCCCGGCUCACUCUCGCUCUCCCAGGACGCAGGUCCUCUGUCUCUCUCCCUCUCUCUCUCUCUUUCUCUCUUUCAUUUCCCAGAUACAGCUGAUCGAGUUCGUCGAGGGCCGAGCGAGUGAGCGCUCCUCAGACUUGGGUGGAGGAAGGCACGUUAAAGUAUAUGGGGGAAAAAGUGGGGGCUUUAGGAGUGGGGUGGUGUAGGAGGAGGGAGUGAGGGAUCUGCAGACCAUUCCACUUUUAAAAGGAUCAUAGGUAGUAUCAAGAAUACAUGUCACCUUUGCUUCCUUUUAAAGGGAAGGUGGACAGUAAAAUACAGGUAGGUUUGGUAUUAAAAUAAUAAGCGCCAGAGGGUUCACGCUGAGUCCGUUGCGUCUGAUAUCAGAAGAUCAACAUUGGCUGAGUCCCAAUCUCCAGUGGAAAUUAUUAAGGAGAAGAAUAUUCACCCUUGGUUGUCUCUAAAAUUAUUAAGAUUGCAGAUGCAGCUGAGAGGCAAACGUGGGUGUGGAUUUUAGAGAAGGAUGUGGAGAACCUUGAUAGAACCCACCACCACCAUCACCACUACCAUCAUCCUGAAGAAGGACAGAGAGAAAUACCAAUCCCAGGGUGCAGGCCGGCCUGCUGCAGGGUGUUUAGAGGCGGACUGACUGACGGGCUCUCUCUCAGGCUCAUCCCCUGUGCUCAGCGUGAGGCCAAGCUCAACCUGGAUUUGUUCUAAAUGGGGAGGGGGGAGUGAAAUGCCACGAGAUCAGUAGCAAGUAGCAGCUGCAGCGUUUUCUCUCCUGGGAACCCCACUGCUUAGAAGCCUCUCCAGUGAUGUUUGUUUAACCAACAGCUUUCUAAGUAAACAGAAGCCAAUCACUCCAAAGAAGUUGCAAUAUAACCCUUGCAAGAAUUUGGAUCCAGGGGUGCUGGCAGAAAAAGUAAUUUUGUAAAUAAUAAAGUCACACCCCCAAA